UACGGGCGUAUGGUGGAUGCCUUGGCAUGCUGAGCCGAUGAAGGACGUGAAAGGCUGCGUUAAGCCUCGGGGAGUUGUCAAUUAAGCGUUGAUCCGAGGAUGUCCGAAUGGGGAAACCUGGCCCUGGUUAUGUGGGGUUACCCUUCAGUGAAUUCAUAGCUGUUGUGGGGGUUUACGCGGGGAAGUGAAACAUCUCAGUACCCGUAGGAGGAGAAAAUAAUAAUGAUUCUGCUAGUAGUGGCGAACGAACGUGGAUGAGGCUAAACCGUGUGCAUGUGAUACCUGGUAGGGGUUGUGUGUGCGGUGU
rnacentral:rRNA from 1 species